ACUGCGAUCAUUACUAUCACAAAUAGCCUUCACCAAUGAUGAUUCCACCUGCCUUUUACCAAAUGCACCCAUUGGCUGAAACAACUUUCUGAGUGGCGCACUCCCGUUUUGCAUGGGUCCAGAACCGGCGUUCUGAGAGGUGAUGACUUGCUCAGGUUUCCACAGCUUGAAGAGGCUGCACUGAGAUCUGAACCCAGUCACUCUGACUCUAAAAAUCAAUGCAUAGUGACUCCAUGCUAGACACACUGCCCAUGAUCUCCCCUAUCUUACAUCAGUCCUCAGAAAUAGCUCGUUAUCCUGCUGGCAGCUGAGGAAGGUUCUGAGAGGUGCAUUGAUAAGCCCGGACUCACACAGCCAGCAUGUUCAGAGACAGCUCAGGCAGCACAGAAUCUAGAGUCUGCCCGAGCUGUCUCUCAGGAAUACAGAGCCCAAGGGUGUCCUCCCAAGCUUCACCCCAGAAACCAGGAGCAACUUCUGCAAAUGCACCUUGUGUAGGAAGUCAGAGGCCAAGCCACAGACCAGGUGGUUUCUGCUCCUCCAGAUGCCAGUGCUCCUCCAUCCUCAAAGCCACGUGUGAGAAGCCUGACCAUGACACAGCACUUCCAUCCACUAUUGUUGUUGGGCAGAAGUCUCCUUUGAGAUGUUCUCUGCAGGGUAAUCAUCCAGGGCACUGGAUGUGUAAAAACACCAGAAGGUGAUGGUGUGAGGAUGAGACACCAGAGCUCUUUCUCUUCUCCACGUGAAGAUACAGCAGGAAGGCGGCCAUCUGCAACCUGGCUGAUAGCCCUCACUGGGAACUCAAUCUGCUCACACCUUGCUCUUGAACUUUCCAGCCUCCAGAGCUAUGAGAAAUAAAUUUCUAUUGCUUAAGCAACCUAGUCGACAGUAUUUUGUUAUGACAGCCCAAAUGGACUAAGAGAAAUAGCAACCAUAGCUUCCUUUCAUUGUCCCUGCCUGCGCUACCUAGGAAAGACUCGGUCCAAUGCACCAGUUUACACUUAUAUCUCCCGAUGCUUCUUGCCAUAUAAGGAGGAAGAAACAUGAGGAUUCUCAAACACCCCCAUUUUCCUUUUUAGUAUAAAGGAAGAGGGGGUCUCUGAGGCACCCUUCACUUUGGGCAGUGAUUGUCAAGCAGGUGCACUUCUGCCCUCUGGAGACAUUUGGCAAUGUUGAAAGGACAUUUUUGGCUGUCAUAGUUGAGGAAAGGUACUACUGGCAUCUGGAAGGUAGAGUCCAGGGAUGCUGCUAAAUACCCUACAAUGCACAGGACAGCCCCCUGCAACAAUUAUCCAGACCAAAAUGUCAACAGUGCCAACGUCGAGGAAGCUUGGCCUCAAGGAACCAUUCAACUCAUAGCCAAGAGAUGACUAAACAAUCCUCACUGAAACUGACAGCGUUGACAUAGGGCGUGCAGCCCACCUUUGGCAAAGAAUACCAGGGGAAGCAAGUGACUUCCCAUGGAGAAGCAUCUAUCUCCAAACUCCAUUUCAAAACUCUCACUCUAAAAAGGCCUCCUCAUCCUUUGUCUUAUCCAUAAUAAGUUCCACUCCACAGCCACAGAGCUCCACAGAUCACAAAGACCAGAGAGCCCGCUGGAAAACAGGGCCCAUAAAGCAAUGCCUCCUGAGUCUCAUAAUUCAACCUGAUCCUUCAGGGCACUUCUCUGACCCUGAAGGCAGGUCAGAGGGGGCCAGUGAUAUCCAAGUGCUGGGCCGAAAGCUCCCUGAAACUUACAGCUAAUAAAAACUUUCACAGUACCAUCAUCUUUGAGCUGGGCACCAUUCUAAGCAUGCUUUACACGCAGAAACACAUUUAAUCCACAAACACUCCAGGAAGCUCUUCUGCCAUCUCCAUGUUAAAAAUGAGAAAACAGGCAGAAAAGAUAAUUUGUCCAAAGUUUAAUGGAUAGUAAGUGUAGCAUGCAGAAUUUCAACCCCAACUUCCUUAAGAGAAGUUUCACAGUGCUACAAAUUGUGUUUGGUGUAUACUGCUUGGGUGAUGGGUGGUCCAAAAUCUCACAAACGACCAGUAAAGAAUUUGCUCAUGUAAACCAAAUAUAACCUGUUUCCCAAAAACCUAUGGAAAUAAAAUUUUUAAAAAUAAAAGGAGUUUCACAUUGCAUCUCUAGAAUUAAAAUUACAUUUUAAAACAAACAA